rnacentral:sRNA from 1 species
AGGUAUUUCAGUUCCUUCAUUCACUCA